CCUCUCCAGACGAGAUCUGAAGCCGCCGGGCAGCAGGGCUCCCCCAAGUACCAGGAGAAGAUGAGCUUGUAGCGUGGGCUAUGGAUUAAAGCUUGAUACCAGCUUUCAUAGAUCCGGAUGGUUUUGAAGUGAUAGCUGGCUUGACUUUGCUUUUCUUCAAAGCAUCUUGGCAGACCAAAAUCCGUAAUUUUUGGCACCAUGUUUUCGUCUAGCAAUAUAUUUGCAGGUUUUAGGUCUAAGUGAAGGAUAUCGAUCUCUGUUAAUAUAUUGUAAACCUUCACAAAUUCCCUUGAUUAUUUCAUAGCGCGCUAUUUUAAAAGAAAUGAUUUGGCAUUGGACAAACCAAGUUGUCCAACAUGCAUAUUCAUGACUUGAAAAAGUAAAAAAAAAUACAGUCUGGAUAUUGUGUUUGACUUAGAAAGAUGGAAAAGCUAAACAAAAAGUUGUGAAGGCAGAUGAUAAAAGUGCUAUUGAAUGAUCAAGGAAUUUGUGAGGUUUACAUUAUCUUCGCAAGAGUUGUAUUGUUCACUUAGACCUAGACAUGCAAGUAUAUUUCUAGGCGAAAACAUAAUGUUAAAAAUUGCGGAUUUUUGUCUCUCAAGUUGCUUGGAGGAAAAUCAAAGCCAGGCUAUUGCUUCAAAACAGUUUGGAUCUAUGUAUGAAAGAAGGGACAUUGAUGAACUGGGUUGGAUUUACUUUGACUUGCAAACUUGUUUGCAUGUUAUCAUCAGGUAUGUAUAUAUCAUAAUCUAUGCUUGCAAUACGCACUUGCAACUUGGGGAAUAGGUAGAACUCAUGGGGAGGAUACUAGAAACACAUAGUAUGCACAUCAGUCAAUAGGCUUGACAAAACAGAAAGCACAAAUAGGUCUACCAGACAUCAGUUGUGCUGGUAAGCUCACUUAUGGUCCAUGACAUGCUCCACUAACCUCUUUUUUUAGAGCAUAGUGUACAUCUUUAGGUACUUCGCAAGAGAAAAAGGCUGCUUUGGCUGCAAGUGGAGUACUUGAUGCUGCAGAUGGUGGCUGGCGAUGCACUGCUCUGGCGUAGACUGCUACACAAGGAGCACCGGCGCUCCCCCAACGAAUACACCAGUUCCAAUCAGGCCCUGCCUUUCACCUGCCGACUCUCUAGGCACUUAGGUGUGAGGUAUGUCGGCCUGCGCAGUCCUGGAGCUGCAAUCUCCCCUGGAGGUGUCUGGCAAUGGCAGUGAUGCUGCCCUGUUGCUCUAAGUCUUGGCGCAUUGCCAUUUUUUGGCUGGAGGCAAGGCCCGGUGAGGCCUAAUGUCGUUGCUUGUCUGUAGUUGAGGGCACCUCCUCCACCUAGCUGUAGUCACUUGGUGAGGACGGUCGUGUGUGUGUGUGUGUGCGCGCGAGCGCGUGAGUGUCCCUCCUUUCUGGAGGUUGUACCCCUGAUGUCUUCCUGUUCAAUGCAAGUUCAAUGCAAUGAAACACAACUCUUUUGCAUUUUCUUGAAAAAA